UUUGGUUAAGUUAGAAAGGGCGCACGGUGGAUGCCUUGACACUAGGAGUCGAUGAAGGACGGGACUAACGCCGAUAUGCUUCGGGGAGCUGUAAGUAAGCUUUGAUCCGAAGAUUUCCGAAUGGGGAAACCCACUAUACGUAAUGGUAUGGUAUCCUUAUCUGAAUACAUAGGGUAAGGAAGACAGACCCAGGGAACUGAAACAUCUAAGUACCUGGAGGAAGAGAAAGCAAAUGCGAUUUCCUGAGUAGCGGCGAGCGAAACGGAACAUAGCCCAAACCAAGAGGCUUGCCUCUUGGGGUUGUAGGACAUUCUAUACGGAGUUACAAAGGAACGAGGUAGACGAAGCGACCUGGAAAGGUCCGUCGUAGAGGGUAACAACCCCGUAGUCGAAACUUCGUUCUCUCUUGAAUGUAUCCUGAGUACGGCGGAACACGUGAAAUUCCGUCGGAAUCUGGGAGGACCAUCUCCCAAGGCUAAAUACUCCCUAGUGAUCGAUAGUGAACCAGUACCGUGAGGGAAAGGUGAAAAGCACCCCGGAAGGGGAGUGAAAGAGAUCCUGAAACCGUGUGCCUACAAAUAGUCAGAGCCCGUUAACGGGUGAUGGCGUGCCUUUUGUAGAAUGAACCGGCGAGUUACGAUCCCGUGCGAGGUUAAGCUGAAGAGGCGGAGCCGCAGCGAAAGCGAGUCUGAAUAGGGCGUUUAGUACGUGGUCGUAGACCCGAAACCAGGUGAUCUACCCAUGUCCAGGGUGAAGUUCAGGUAACACUGAAUGGAGGCCCGAACCCACGCACGUUGAAAAGUGCGGGGAUGAGGUGUGGGUAGCGGAGAAAUUCCAAUCGAACCUGGAGAUAGCUGGUUCUCCCCGAAAUAGCUUUAGGGCUAGCCUUAAGUGUAAGAGUCUUGGAGGUAGAGCACUGAUUGGACUAGGGGUCCUCAUCGGAUUACCGAAUUCAGUCAAACUCCGAAUGCCAAUGACUUAUCCUUAGGAGUCAGACUGCGAGUGAUAAGAUCCGUAGUCAAAAGGGAAACAGCCCAGACCGCCAGCUAAGGUCCCAAAGUGUGUAUUAAGUGGAAAAGGAUGUGGAGUUGCUUAGACAACUAGGAUGUUGGCUUAGAAGCAGCCACCAUUUAAAGAGUGCGUAAUAGCUCACUAGUCGAGUGACUCUGCGCCGAAAAUGUACCGGGGCUAAAUACACCACCGAAGCUGCGGAUUGAUACCAAUGGUAUCAGUGGUAGGGGAGCGUUCUAAGGACAGUGAAGUCAGACCGGAAGGACUGGUGGAGUGCUUAGAAGUGAGAAUGCCGGUAUGAGUAGCGAAAGACGGGUGAGAAUCCCGUCCACCGAAUGCCUAAGGUUUCCUGAGGAAGGCUCGUCCGCUCAGGGUUAGUCAGGACCUAAGCCGAGGCCGACAGGCGUAGGCGAUGGACAACAGGUUGAUAUUCCUGUACCACCUCUUUAUCGUUUGAGCAAUGGAGGGACGCAGAAGGAUAGAAGAAGCGUGCGAUUGGUUGUGCACGUCCAAGCAGUUAGGCUGAUAAGUAGGCAAAUCCGCUUAUCGUGAAGGCUGAGCUGUGAUGGGGAAGCUCCUUAUGGAGCGAAGUCUUUGAUUCCCCGCUGCCAAGAAAAGCUUCUAGCGAGAUAAAAGGUGCCUGUACCGCAAACCGACACAGGUAGGCGAGGAGAGAAUCCUAAGGUGUGCGAGAGAACUCUGGUUAAGGAACUCGGCAAAAUGACCCCGUAACUUCGGGAGAAGGGGUGCUUUCUUAACGGAAAGCCGCAGUGAAUAGGCCCAAGCGACUGUUUAGCAAAAACACAGCUCUCUGCGAAGCCGUAAGGCGAAGUAUAGGGGUGACACCUGCCCGGUGCUGGAAGGUUAAGGAGAGGGGUUAGCGUAAGCGAAGCUCUGAACUGAAGCCCCAGUAAACGGCGGCCGUAACUAUAACGGUCCUAAGGUAGCGAAAUUCCUUGUCGGGUAAGUUCCGACCCGCACGAAAGGUGUAACGAUUUGGGCACUGUCUCAACCAGAGACUCGGUGAAAUUAUAGUACCUGUGAAGAUGCAGGUUACCCGCGACAGGACGGAAAGACCCCGUGGAGCUUUACUGUAGCCUGAUAUUGAAUUUUGGUACAGUUUGUACAGGAUAGGCGGGAGCCUUUGAAACCGGAGCGCUAGCUUCGGUGGAGGCGCUGGUGGGAUACCGCCCUGACUGUAUUGAAAUUCUAACCUACGGGUCUUAUCGACCCGGGAGACAGUGUCAGGUGGGCAGUUUGACUGGGGCGGUCGCCUCCUAAAGUGUAACGGAGGCGCCCAAAGGUUCCCUCAGAAUGGUUGGAAAUCAUUCGUAGAGUGCAAAGGCAUAAGGGAGCUUGACUGCGAGACCUACAAGUCGAGCAGGGACGAAAGUCGGGCUUAGUGAUCCGGUGGUUCCGCAUGGAAGGGCCAUCGCUCAACGGAUAAAAGCUACCCCGGGGAUAACAGGCUUAUCUCCCCCAAGAGUCCACAUCGACGGGGAGGUUUGGCACCUCGAUGUCGGCUCAUCGCAUCCUGGGGCUGUAGUCGGUCCCAAGGGUUGGGCUGUUCGCCCAUUAAAGCGGUACGCGAGCUGGGUUCAGAACGUCGUGAGACAGUUCGGUCCCUAUCCGUCGUGGGCGUAGGAAAUUUGAGAGGAGCUGUCCUUAGUACGAGAGGACCGGGAUGGACGCACCGCUGGUGUACCAGUUGUUCUGCCAAGGGCAUAGCUGGGUAGCUAUGUGCGGAAGGGAUAAGUGCUGAAAGCAUCUAAGCAUGAAGCCCCCCUCAAGAUGAGAUUUCCCAUAGCGUAAGCUAGUAAGAUCCCUGAAAGAUGAUCAGGUUGAUAGGUUCGAGGUGGAAGCAUGGUGACAUGUGGAGCUGACGAAUACUAAUAGAUCGAGGACUUAACCAUAUAA
rnacentral:rRNA from 1 species